CUCCGCUGGAUCCACAAAAGUAAAAUAAUGAACAAGUAAAACCCCAAAGAAAUAUCCCACCUCCUCCCCAGCAACUGGACGACACACAGUUCUAGGAGUACAACUGAAAUUUAUUGAGUCACACACUGCUUUUUUGCCCAGUCCCAUGCAAGUGGUUCUCAACACAAUGACACAAGGGUUUCAAUCCCAGGAUCCUCUGUGUCUGAGAGAUAAUUGCGUGAGAAAUAUCCUCUAAUUUAAUUAUCAGGUACACAAAAUACAACAAAAUAUACUGUAGCAGAUCCUGG